rnacentral:rRNA from 1 species
CCUACGGGAGGCAGCAGUGGGGAAUAUUGGGCAAUGGGCGCAAGCCUACCCAGCAAUAACGCGGGAGUGAAGAAGGUCUUCGGAUUGUAAAGCUCGUUGAACAGGGACGAACAGAUUACGGUACCUGAAGAACAAGCCCCGGCUAACAACGUUCCAGCAGCCGCGGUAAAACGUAGGGGGCGAGCGUUGUUCGGAAUGACUGGGCGUAAAGGGUGCGUAGGCGGCAUAAUAAGUUAGAAGUGAAAUACCCAGGGCUUAACUCGGGUGCUGCUUCUAAGAAUGUUGAGCUUGAGUGCGGGAGAGGUUAAUGGAAUUCCUAGUGUAGCGGUGGAAUGCGUAGAUAUUAGGAGGAACACCAGAGGCGAAGGCGAUUAACUGGACCGUAACUGACGCUGAGGCACGAAAGUGUGGGUAGCAAACAGGAUUAGAUACCCGUGUAGUC